UACGAGGGGGGGCGAGCGUUGUUCGGAAUUAUUGGGCGUAAAGGGUGCGUAGGCGGUUUGUCGCGUCUGCCGUGAAAGUCCGGGGCUCAACUCCGGAUCUGCGGUGGGUACGGGCAGACUAGAGUGAUGUAGGGGAGACUGGAAUUCCUGGUGUAGCGGUGAAAUGCGCAGAUAUCAGGAGGAACACCGGUGGCGAAGGCGGCCAACUGGUCCGACACUGACGCUGAGGCGCGAAAGCGUGGGGAGCAAACAGG
rnacentral:rRNA from 1 species